UAGCUACUCUCUCCGUUCCAAAUUACUCGUCACAGAAAUGGAUGUAUCUAGAACUAAAAUACAUCUAGAUACAUCCAUACUUGUGACAAGUAAUUCGGAACGGAGGGAGUACAUG
rnacentral:pre_miRNA from 1 species